rnacentral:rRNA from 1 species
ACGUAGGAGGCGAGCGUUAUCCGGAUUCACUGGGCGUAAAGCGUGCGCAGGCGGUCUUGCAAGACAGUGGUGAAAUCCCCGGGCUCAACCUGGGAACUGCCAUUGUGACUGCAAGGCUGGAGUACGGCAGAGGGGGAUGGAAUUCCGCGUGUAGCAGUGAAAUGCGUAGAGAUGUGGAGGAACACCGAUGGCGAAGGCAGCCCCCUGGGACAUGGCUGACGCUCAGGUACGAAAGCGUGGGGAGCAAACAG